UACGUAGGGAGCAAGCGUUGUUCGGAUUUACUGGGCGUAAAGGGCGCGUAGGCGGCAAAUUAAGUCAGCUGUGAAAUCUCCGAGCUUAACUCGGAACGGUCAGCUGAUACUGAUCUGCUAGAGUGCGGAAGGGGCAAUCGGAAUUCUUGGCGUAGCGGUGAAAUGCGUAGAUAUCAAGAGGAACACCUGAGGUGAAGACGGGUUUCUGGGCCGACACUGACGCUGAGUGCGCGAAAGCCAGGGGAGCAAACGGG
rnacentral:rRNA from 1 species